rnacentral:rRNA from 1 species
GAUUGCUGUGACGUGGGUGGUUCGCCGCCUUCGAUACUGCAAGAAGUUCAUUGAACCUUAUCAUUUAGAGGAAGGAGAAGUCGUAACAAGGUUUCCGUAGGUGAACCUGCGGAAGGAUCAUUG